rnacentral:lncRNA from 1 species
UGCCGGGCACCGACGGCCCGCCCUCGGGAGCCCGCAGUGGGCCCGGGUGCGGCUCCUCACAUCCACAGCCCCGGGCACCGGACCCCGCGGGCCUGGCCCAAGGGCGCCGCUGUCCCCUCGGGGAAGCCCCGAAGCCCCGGACCUGGCAGCCCUUCCCGGAGCUGCGACGACCCACCUGGCUCCUCCUCCCCGAGAUUCCUUUCAGAGUCUGUCAUGUAAAUAACAUAACUCUUUAGAAAAGAGAACCCACCUGAUCAUUUGAAGAGGAGUGGCAGCAAUGGCCUUCAAGAUGUACACUCAGUCUGGCCGAUGUGAGCCAUAAUAACCAACUAACUGAACAUCUUGCCGUUCAUGACCACCCACAUUGACCCAAGCAGAGGCCAAACGUCAAGAUGGUGUAACCAAAGAUGGAAACAGCCUGGAUGUCAGGCGUGCUUGGAAGGGAGCUGUCCGGAAGAGCCACAGUACCUGAAGCCAACUUUGUGUGGGUGAAAAAGAAACUGUAAUGGGUUAAACCAAUAAAAGUUUUGGACUGUUUAUUUCUACA